rnacentral:misc_RNA from 1 species
AGAUAUUUGAAAAAAAGGGGUCUCAUUAUUUAGCAGUCUGCCAUUUGUGACAGCUGACAGGUUUCUUGUUUUCAUUACUUUAUUAUUAUAACAGCUGAUUCAGGUUCAGGGUCUGGCAGAAUUUGGUUUGGUUCAGCCUUACAUGGGGCCAUUUAGAAGAAACUGUCCUGACCAAGACCCAACUAAUUGACUUAGCAUUACAUAAAAUAAAAGAGAACUUUACCUGUUUAACCACAACUAGCAAAUUCUGCGCUCCUUAACUACAAAAGCAUAGCCCAUUUGAUAACAGAUUCAAACACAAUGUAGUAAUUAAUUAAACCCACUUACCACUCAGAAGCCUGAGCCCAAAGCAACAUUGCUUAUUCUGAUUUAUCAUUGCACUUGUGAAAAGGUUUUUCUGGAAAAGAAG